rnacentral:rRNA from 1 species
UACGUAGGGUGAAGCGUUGUCCGGAAUUAUUGGGCGUAAAGAGCUCGUAGGUGGUUCGGUAAGUCGGAUGUGAAAUCUCCAGGCUCAACCUGGAGGGGUCAUUCGAUACUGCCGUGACUAGAGGUCGGUAGGGGAGUGUGGAAUUCCUGGUGGAGCGGUGAAAUGCGCAGAUAUCAGGAGGAACACCCGUAGCGAAGGCGGCACUCUGGGCCGAUACUGACACUGAGGAGCGAAAGCGUGGGGAGCGAACAGG